GGGAUUCCUGCUGGUGGUAAGCCUGGUCUUCAACCUGCAGCUGGCCAAUC
rnacentral:tRNA from 1 species